rnacentral:rRNA from 1 species
AGAAUCAACGCUGGCGGCGUGCCUAACACAUGCAAGUCGCACGAGAAAGGGUAGCAAUACCUGAGUAAAGUGGCGCACGGGUGUGUAACACGUGAAUGAUCUACCUCCGAGUGGGGAAUAACUGAGAGAAAUCUUAGCUAAUACCGCAUAACACUUACGAGUCAAAGCAGCAAUGCGCUUGGAGAGGAGUUCGCGGCCGAUUAGUUAGUUGGCGGGGUAAUGGCCCACCAAGACGAUGAUCGGUA